AGUAUAAAUUAUGUAUAUGUUUGUUUAAUUUAUAGUAAUAUCGAGGGUUAUGUUGUCAAGGAAUUGAUUAAUUUUAUAGUUUUGCAAAAACCCAGAUCCUAGCCGUCUACUUCCAUGAGUCUAACCAGAUGUAGUCAGGUGUCUACCUUUGCUUGAUGGUAGGGACUGUUACGUAUCUGGAAAAUAAAAGAUAGUGAAGGAAUUGAUGGUUUGGGUUUCAAUCUAUCUAUUAUCCAUCCCUUGAUGGAGUCCAUCGUUGCCCAGUACUAUUUUUUUAGUUAUUACUUAAGCUACAUCUGGACACUACAUUGCUCUUUAUAUUAUACCUCUUUAUAUUAGUGAUCGUUCUAUACAUUCAAGUUGUGAAUGCCAUUCUUAUUUUAUUUAUAGUGGGACACAUGUUAAUCUUCAUUUUUUGUUAAAGGGCUAGACAUGGUGAAGUAAAUGGUAAUAACACUUAAUAACUGCAUUUGGAAAUACAUUGCUUCUAUAUCAUUUGAAUGUAGAUGCAGUUUUUUGGUGUUUAUCUGUGAAAUAUAAUAUAUGAUUUAGAUCGUUUCCCAUGAAUCUAACCAGAUGUGGUCCAGGUGUCAACCUUUGAUCUGAUGGUACAGACCGUUACAUAUCUGGAAAAUAAAAGAUAGGGAAGGAAUAUCCAUCACUUGAAGGAGUCCAUCGUUGCUCAGUACCAUGUGUUUAGUUAUUACUUG